GCAGCCCGCGACAAUCUGUCAAAACCGAAAAUAGAAAAAGGAUUGAGAUUUAUCCCAAAGGGUUGUGCCAAAAGAAGUGCUAAUGGUCAAAUGAUAGCAUGAAAGGUGCUUUUCUGCUAACCGUAUCCCUACAAAAACACAGGAGUCCCGUGCUAUUCGCGACAUGUAUCUGGCUCGGUAUCUGGAGAAAUAACGCCGGAGGAUCUGCCUCGAUAUAGUUUUGAAAUCUAUCACGUCGGAGUGGUCUGUGUGGACAGAACUUUAAAUGCCGAUCCAGCCAAUCGUUACAUACAAGUUCCAACCUCGUUUAGGGUGAGCAUCUGCCUGCUCACACGGUUAUCGAAGGAAGCAAAAUUCGCCUGCAAUAGAAUUCUGAAGAAUCAAUAUCGCAGAGCUUCACAGCAAUGGUGCCUUAGGAUCAUGAAUUUCCAAGCGAAUGCACACCAUUAUUUAUCGUUGCAACAACUGGAAAAGGAUGAGCAUGCCAAUAAACUUGCGCAAGGACAUGAACAGGAUGAUGGUUCAGACAAAGCCGAA